rnacentral:rRNA from 1 species
UUAAGUUAAUAAGGGCGCACGGUGGAUGCCUUGGCACUAGGAGCCGACGAAGGACGUGACAAACGACGAUAUGCCUUGGGUAGCUGUAAGUAAGCGAUGAUCCAGGGAUUUCCGAAUGGGGGAACCCAACAGGUAAUACCUGUUACCCACAUCUGUUAAGGAUGUGAGGAGGAAGACGCAGUGAACUGAAACAUCUAAGUAGCUGCAGGAAGAGAAAGCAAAAGCGAUUGCCUUAGUAGCGGCGAGCGAAACGGCAGAAGGGCAAACCGAAGAGUUUACUCUUCGGGGUUGUAGGACUGCAAUGUGGACUCAAAGAUUAUAGAAGAAUGAUUUGGGAAGAUCAGCCAAAGAGAGUAAUAGCCUCGUAUUUAAAAUAGUCUUUGUACCUAGCAGUAUCCUGAGUACGGCGGGACACGUGAAAUCCCGUCGGAAUCUGGGAGGACCAUCUCCCAACCCUAAAUACUCCCUAGUGACCGAUAGUGAACCAGUACCGUGAGGGAAAGGUGAAAAGCACCCCGGGAGGGGAGUGAAAUAGAACCUGAAACCGUGUGCCUACAACAAGUUCGAGCCCGUUAAUGGGUGAGAGCGUGCCUUUUGUAGAAUGAACCGGCGAGUUACGUUAUGAUGCGAGGUUAAGUUGAAGAGACGGAGCCGUAGGGAAACCGAGUCUGAACAGGGCGAAUUAGUAUCAUGACGUAGACCCGAAACCAUGUGACCUACCCAUGAGCAGGUUGAAGGUGCGGUAAGACGCACUGGAGGACCGAACCAGGGCACGUUGAAAAGUGCUUGGAUGACUUGUGGGUAGCGGAGAAAUUCCAAACGAACUUGGAGAUAGCUGGUUCUCUCCGAAAUAGCUUUAGGGCUAGCGUCGACAUUAGAGAUUCUUGGAGGUAGAGCACUGUUUGGGUGAGGGGUCCAUCCCGGAUUACCAAUCUCAGAUAAACUCCGAAUGCCAAUGAAUUAUGGUCGGCAGUCAGACUGCGAGUGCUAAGAUCCGUAGUCGAAAGGGAAACAGCCCAGACCACCAGCUAAGGUCCCAAAAUAAUUGUUAAGUGGAAAAGGAUGUGGGGUUGCACAGACAACUAGGAUGUUAGCUUAGAAGCAGCUAUUCAUUCAAAGAGUGCGUAAUAGCUCACUAGUCGAGUGACCCUGCGCCGAAAAUGUACCGGGGCUAAAACAAUUUACCGAAGCUGUGGAUACCUUUAUAGGUAUGGUAGGAGAGCGUUCUAUGUGUGAUGAAGGUAUACCGUGAGGAGUGCUGGAACGCAUAGAAGUGAGAAUGCCGGUAUGAGUAGCGAAAGACAGGUGAGAAUCCUGUCCACCGUAAGACUAAGGUUUCCAGGGGAAGGCUCGUCCGCCCUGGGUUAGUCGGGACCUAAGGAGAGACCGAAAGGUGUAUCCGAUGGACAACAGGUUGAUAUUCCUGUACUAGAGUAUGUAGUGAUGGAGGGACGCAGUAGGCUAACUAAAGCAGACGAUUGGAAGAGUCUGUCUAAGCAGUGAGGUGUGAAUUGAGUNGUCACACUGCCAAGAAAAGCUUCUAGCGUUUAAACAUACUCUACCCGUACCGCAAACCGACACAGGUAGUCGAGGCGAGUAGCCUCAGGUGAGCGAGAGAACUCUCGUUAAGGAACUCGGCAAAAUGACCCCGUAACUUCGGGAGAAGGGGUGCUGACUUAAAGUCAGCCGCAGUGAAUAGGCCCAAGCAACUGUUUAUCAAAAACACAGCUCUCUGCUAAAUCGUAAGAUGAUGUAUAGGGGGUGACGCCUGCCCGGUGCUGGAAGGUUAAGAGGAGUGCUUAGCGUAAGCGAAGGUAUGAAUUGAAGCCCCAGUAAACGGCGGCCGUAACUAUAACGGUCCUAAGGUAGCGAAAUUCCUUGUCGGGUAAGUUCCGACCCGCACGAAAGGCGUAAUGAUUUGGGCACUGUCUCAACGAGAGACUCGGUGAAAUUUUAGUACCUGUGAAGAUGCAGGUUACCCGCGACAGGACGGAAAGACCCCAUGGAGCUUUACUGCAGUUUGAUAUUGAGUGUCUGUACCACAUGUACAGGAUAGGUAGGAGUCUAAGAGAUCGGGACGCCAGUUUCGAAGGAGACGCUGUUGGGAUACUACCCUUGUGUUAUGGCCACUCUAACCCAGAUAGGUGAUCCCUAUCGGAGACAGUGUCUGACGGGCAGUUUGACUGGGGCGGUCGCCUCCUAAAAGGUAACGGAGGCGCCCAAAGGUUCCCUCAGAAUGGUUGGAAAUCAUUCGCAGAGUGUAAAGGUAUAAGGGAGCUUGACUGCGAGAGCUACAACUCGAGCAGGGACGAAAGUCGGGCUUAGUGAUCCGGUGGUUCCGUAUGGAAGGGCCAUCGCUCAACGGAUAAAAGCUACCCUGGGGAUAACAGGCUUAUCUCCCCCAAGAGUUCACAUCGACGGGGAGGUUUGGCACCUCGAUGUCGGCUCGUCGCAUCCUGGGGCUGUAGUCGGUCCCAAGGGUUGGGCUGUUCGCCCAUUAAAGCGGCACGCGAGCUGGGUUCAGAACGUCGUGAGACAGUUCGGUCCCUAUCCGUCGCGGGCGUAGGAAAUUUGAGAGGAUCUGCUCCUAGUACGAGAGGACCAGAGUGGACUUACCGCUGGUGUACCAGUUGUCUUGCCAAAGGCAUCGCUGGGUAGCUAUGUAGGGAAGGGAUAAACGCUGAAAGCAUCUAAGUGUGAAACCCACCUCAAGAUGAGAUUUCCCAUGAUUAUAUAUCAGUAAGAGCCCUGAGAGAUGAUCAGGUAGAUAGGUUAGAAGUGGAAGUGUGGCGACACAUGUAGCGGACUAAUACUAAUAGCUCGAGGACUUAUCCAA